UACGUAGGGUGCAAGCGUUGUCCGGAAUCAUUGGGCGUAAAGAGCGUGUAGGCGGCUUGGCAAGUCUCGCGUGAAAUCCUGCGGCUCAACCGCAGGCGGUCGCGGGAAACUGCCUCGCUAGAGUCCGGAAGAGGAGAGUGGAAUUCCUGGUGUAGCGGUGGAAUGCGCAGAUAUCAGGAAGAACACCCGUGGCGAAGGCGGCUCUCUGGGACGGUACUGACGCUGAGACGCGAAAGCGUGGGGAGCGAACAGG
rnacentral:rRNA from 1 species